rnacentral:rRNA from 1 species
CAAGGAAUUUUCGGCAAUGGGCGCAAGCCUGACCGAGCAACGCCGCGUGCAGGAUGACGGCCUUCGGGUUGUAAACUGCUUUUUGGGGGGAUGAUACAGACCGUACCCCCAGAAUCAGCCCCGGCUAACUCUGUGCCAGCAGCCGCGGUAAUACAGAGGGGGCAAGCGUUGUCCGGAUUUACUGGGCGUAAAGCGUAUGUAGGCGGUGGCACAGGUGGGGUGUUAAAUCGCUCGGCUUAACCGGGCGCGGCCAUCCCAAACCGUGCCGCUUGAGCUGUGCAGAGGUCGGUGGAAUUGCCGGUGUAGUGGUGAAAUGCGUAGAGAUCGGCAGGAACACCAAGGGGGGACCCAGCCGACUGGGCACAAGCUGACGCUGAGGUACGAGAGCGUGGGGAGCGAACCGGAUUAGAUACCCGGGUAGUCCACGCCGUAAACGAUGUCAACUCGGCUUUUGGUGGCUAUCCACGCCGCUGGGAGCCUAAGCCAACGCGCAAGUUGACCGCCUGGGAACUACGAGCGCAA